rnacentral:rRNA from 1 species
GACGAACGCUGGCGGCGUGCUUAACACAUGCAAGUCGAACGGAAAGGCCCUGCUUUUGUUGGGUGCUCGAGUGGCGAACGGGUGAGUAACACGUGAGUAACCUGCCCUUGACUUUGGGAUAACUUCAGGAAACUGGGGCUCAUACCGGGUAGGAGCUCCUGCUGCAUGUUGGGGGAUGGAAAGUUUCGGCGGUUGUGUCUGGACUCGCGGCUUAUCCGCUUGUUGGUGGGGUAGUGGCUUACCAGGGCUUGGACGGGUAGCCGGCCUGAGAGGGUGACCGGCCACAUUGGGACUGGGGUACGACCCGGACGCAUUCGGGAGGCAGGAGUGGGGAAUAUUGCACAAUGGGCGGAGGCCUGGUGCAGCAACGCCGGGUGCGGGAUGACGGCCUUCGGGUUGUAAACCACUUUCGCGUGUGACGAAGCGUGAGUGACGGUACUGGGUAAAGAAGCACCGGCUAACUACGU